UUAAGCCAUGCAAGUCGAACGAGUUUAGGCUCGUGGCGUACGGCUCAGUAACACGUGGAUAACCUACCCUUAGGACCGGGAUAACCUUGGGAAACUGAGGAUAAUACUGGAUAGGCAAUUUUUCCUGUAAUGGUUUUUUGUUUAAAUGUUUUUUCGCCUAAGGAUGGGUCUGCGGCCGAUUAGGUAGUUGGUUAGGUAAUGGCUUACCAAGCCGUUGAUCGGUGCGGGUUGUGAGAGCAAGAGCCCGGAGAUGGAACCUGAGACAAGGUUCCAGGCCCUACGGGGUGCAGCAGGCGCGAAACCUCCGCAAUGUGAGAAAUCGCGACGGGGGGACCCCAAGUGCCAUUCUUAACGGGAUGGCUUUUCAUUAGUGUAAAGAGCUUUUGGAAUAAGAGCUGGGCAAGACCGGUGCCAGCCGCCGCGGUAA
rnacentral:rRNA from 1 species